GUCUUGCCAUGUUACCAGAUGUUUUAUUUACCGAGUUUUUCUGGAAAGACUUUUAUUAUGAAAUUUGAAUCAGGUAGUAGAGGAAGUUAAAAGUUAGAAGUUGGGGUUGUGAGUAAAUCUUGUGUUAAUGUGUAAAUUGAUAUCAGGUGUUCUACUCACUUACUUAUUAAUGAUUUUUGAUCAUUCGUAGCCACUACAUAGCCUUGUAUUAUUUUCUUGAGUAAUUGUUGUUUAAUUAAUCAUACUUAACUAAAUGUUUCAGGCUCAUAAAAGCAGUCCUGUGAAACUUAAUAUAUAACACUGGCUCUUAAGAUAUAUUUAUAAUCGUUCUGUUUCCAUAUGAGGCCGUUUUUCAGCAGUAAAAUAUUAUGUGAUCUAUUAUAGAGACUUCUCAUAAGCCAGGUAAUAUUAUUUGUUUCUUAUGUGACGCUGUACUUCCUUGUUUCGGUUAACUGUAACACUUCUGUUAAUUCUGAGGAAGCAAAAAGGGUCUGUCCCUUCUGCUGCUGGCAGAGCAUGUUUAACCCCUAUAUAUACACCCUGCUCGCAUUCAAUAAACCAGGGAGCACAGACGAACAUCCUUGUGUGUGUGUGAUUCUUUGUUCUGUCCCUCGGGGUUGUUGUGGAAGGUUAGCCGAGGAAACUGAGUGCCAGAGACCGGGAUAAGUGAACCUGAGGUUUUAGCUCCAAAGCUUUAACCCUUUCAUGUUGGUUAUUAUAUUAGAUUAAUCUAAUCAAGGCUGCUGAGUUCAGUGCAGUUCUUGAAGAGUGAGACCAGAGCAGAGUCUGAUGAAGAGAAAAUGGAUAAUCUAAAAUUCUCCCCACCAAAGUGUCAUGUCUGUUUACACUGUGGGAGGAGUUUCUCCCAGAGUGGACACCUCAACGUACACCUGAAAAUUCAUACUGGAACAAAAAAGCACUGCUGCUCAGUCUGCAAGAAGAGCUUCAGGACUGCUAAUCAGCUCUCAGAGCACACACACACACAUGCUGAGCAGAAGCCCUAUCACUGCAGCCAGUGCGGGAAGGGAUUUAUAAGACCAGGCCGACUCAAAACUCACGAAAGAAUUCAUACUGGAGAAAAGCCACACCCCUGCACCAAGUGCAAGAAAAGCUUCAAAUCUACAGAAGAGCUAAAAAUCCACUUGCGCAUUCACACUGGACUUAAACUACACUUCUGCUUCUGGUGUGGAAAGGGAUUCAGUCGGAAUGAACAUUUAAAAAAGCACACGCUAAUUCAUACUGGAGAGAAACCACAUUCCUGCUCAGAGUGUGGGAAGAGGUUCUCUCGAGCUGACCACUUUAAAAAACACCAGGAGAUUCAUACAAAGAAUAGAGGAUCUGCUCAUAGUUUAAAAGACUUAUAAAUCCAUAAACACACAAACGUGAUGGAUUAGGAACUCACCAGGUUUCUUUUUUUUUUUUUUUCCUUUUUGUUAUUCAUUUGUUUUCUGCAAAAAUAUAUAUUCAAAUAUAUUGCAGGCUGAUGCUUUUCAAAAAGCUGGCUGACCUAAAGAAAACAUUCUUAUAUAAAUAAGUAGAGGAAUAAUAAACAAAUAAACGAAUAAACCAAAAGGGCAACGGACAUUUCAGCUCUAUUGUGCCUUAGACAUUCUGUUUUUAGUUGUUGCCAAUUUACCAAGUGUAAUAAAAUUACCUUGGUUUUGCUUUAUUUAUAUACUUGCUUUUACUUCUAUUCUGAAUACCUAAAUAAACACGCAUUAGAAACAA